GAGUUUGAUCUUGGCUCAGAACGAACGCUGGCGGCGUGGAUAAGACAUGCAAGUCGAACGAGCUUACUUUGGUAGCAAUAUUGAAGUAAGUUAGUGGCGCAAGGGUGCGUAACACGUGGGCAACCUGCCCUGGGGUGUGGGAUAGCCCGCCGAAAGGCGGAUUAAUACCGCGUGUGGCUACUGAGUGCAUACUCGGGACGCUAAAGGUGGCGCAAGCUACCGCUCCGGGAUGGGCCCGCGGCCUAUCAGCUAGUUGGCGGGGUAACGGCCCACCAAGGCUAUGACGGGUAGCUGGUCUGAGAGGACGACCAGCCACACUGGAACUGAGACACGGUCCAGACACCUACGGGUGGCAGCAGUCGAGAA
rnacentral:rRNA from 1 species